UGUUUGUCUGACACCAAGGGGAGGGGAGGUUGUACCUGGACGGGCUUCCGGUUCGAUGCAGACCGAAGCCAGGCCGAAUAGCGAGAAGAUGACGAAGGCAACGAUGAUGAAGGUCAGCUCAAAGCCGGAGAAGGGCAGUUCCAUCUACACAAGCAGCCGACACAGAGCAAGUACAAUCUUGGCCGCUCCUUUGCGCCACAUCCUGGAAGCCAGAGUGGAUCGUAUGACAAGUCGUACCAUCGCGGCGUGAAUAAUCCUCGGUGAGCAUCCCAGUGAGCGUGAAGAGGGCGAACACCAGGAGAGAGAACAUGAUCGCCAACGCCUCCACCUCGG